rnacentral:rRNA from 1 species
GAUGAACGCUGGCGGCGUGCUUUACACAUGCAAGUCAAACGGUGAAGGCGGAGCUUGCUCUGCUGGAUCAGUGGCGAACGGGUGAGUAACACGUGAGCAAUCUGCCCCUGACUCUGGGAUAAGCGCUGGAAACGGCGUCUAAUACUGGAUACGAGCUGCGAAGGCAUCUUCAGCAGCUGGAAAGAAUUUCGGUCAGGGAUGAGCUCGCGGCCUAUCAGCUUGUUGGUGAGGUAAUGGCUCACCAAGGCGUCGACGGGUAGCCGGCCUGAGAGGGUGACCGGCCACACUGGGACUGAGACACGGCCCAGACUCCUACGGGAGGCAGCAGUGGGGAAUAUUGCACAAUGGGCGAAAGCCUGAUGCAGCAACGCCGCGUGAGGGACGACGGCCUUCGGGUUGUAAACCUCUUUUAGCAGGGAAGAAGCGAAAGUGACGGUACCUGCAGAAAAAGCGCCGGCUAACUACGUG